rnacentral:rRNA from 1 species
AUUGAACGCUGGCGGCAUGCCUUACACAUGCAAGUCGAACGGCAGCACGGGAGCAAUCCUGGUGGCGAGUGGCGAACGGGUGAGUAAUAUAUCGGAACGUGCCCAGUCGUGGGGGAUAACGCAGCGAAAGCUGUGCUAAUACCGCAUACGAUCUAAGGAUGAAAGCGGGGGAUCGAAAGACCUCGCGCGAUUGGAGCGGACGAUAUCAGAUUAGCUAGUUGGUGGGGUAAAGGCCCACCAAGGCGACGAUCUGUAGCUGGUCUGAGAGGACGACCAGCCACACUGGAACUGAGACACGGUCCAGACUCCUACGGGAGGCAGCAGUGGGGAAUUUUGGACAAUGGGCGCAAGCCUGAUCCAGCAAUGCCGCGUGCAGGAUGAAGGCCUUCGGGUUGUAAACUGCUUUUGUACGGAACGAAACGGCCCUUUCUAAUACAGGGGGCUAAUGACGGUACCGUAAGAAUAAGCACCGGCUAACUACGUGCCAGCCGCCGCCGUAAUAC